AGNGANUNNGCGGCNUAUCAGNCUUGUACGGNNGCUANNNNCAGCAAGCUGNNCGUAAGCUGGCCUGAGAGGNGANNNNNCANNNUGGANNGAGANNNNCAGGACUCCUACGNAUGCAGCAGUGGGANUAUUGCACUAUGGNCGAAGCCUGAUGCAGCGACGCGCGUGAAGGGAUGAAGGNUUCGGUNUAANCUCUUUCAGUAGGAAGAAGCGAAAGUGACGGUACCUGCAGAAGAAGCGCCGGCUAACUACGUGCCAGCAGCNGCGGUAAUACGUAGGGCGCAAGCGUUGUCCAGGAAUUAUUGGGCGUAAAGAGCUCGUAGGCGGUUUGUCGCGUCUGGUGUGAAAACUCAAGGCUCAACCUUGAGCUUGCAUCGGGUACGGGCAGACUAGAGUGCGGUAGGGGUGACUGGAAUUCCUGGUGUAGCGGUGGAAUGCGCAGAUAUCAGGAGGAACACCGAUGGCGAAGGCAGGUCACUGGGCCGCAACUGACGCUGAGGAGCGAAAGCAUGGGGAGCGAACAGGAUUAGAUACCCUGGUAGUCCAUGCCGUAAACGUUGGGCACUAGGUGUGGGGCUCAUUCCACGAGUUCCGUGCCGCAGCAAACGCAUUAAGUGCCCCGCCUGGGGAGUACGGCCGCAAGGCUAAAACUCAAAGGAAUUGACGGGGGCCCGCACAAGCGGCGGAGCAUGCGGAUUAAUUCGAUGCAACGCGAAGAACCUUACCAAGGCUUGACAUACACCGGAAUCGGCCAGAGAUGGUCGCGUCUUCGGACUGGUGUACAGGUGGUGCAUGGUUGUCGUCAGCUCGUGUCGUGAGAUGUUGGGUUAAGUCCCGCAACGAGCGCAACCCUCGUCCUAUGUUGCCAGCACGUUAUGGUGGGGACUCAUAGGAGACUGCCGGGGUCAACUCGGAGGAAGGUGGGGAUGACGUCAAAUCAUCAUGCCCCUUAUGUCUUGGGCUUCACGCAUGCUACAAUGGCCGGUACAAAGGGCUGCGAUACCGCGAGGUGGAGCGAAUCCCAAAAAGCCGGUCUCAGUUCGGAUUGGGGUCUGCAACUCGACCCCAUGAAGUCGGAGUCGCUAGUAAUCGCAGAUCAGCAACGCUGCGGUGAAUACGUUCCCGGGCCUUGUACACACCGCCCGUCAAGUCACGAAAGUCGGUAACACCCGAAGCCGGUGGCCUAACCCCUUGUGGGACGAGCCGUCGA
rnacentral:rRNA from 1 species